CUAGGAUGUUGGCUUAGAAGCAGCCACACAUUCAAAGAGUGCGUAAUAGCUCACUAGUCGAGAGGUCUUGCGCCGAAAAUGUCCGGGGCUAAAACACAACACCGAAGCUUAGGAAUGUAGCAAUACAUUGGUAGAGGAGCAUUUUUAUAGGCGUAGAAGCUGUACCGAUAAGGAGCAGUGGAGUAAUAAAAAGAGAGAAUGCCGGAAUGAGUAGCGAGAUGAAGGUGAGAAUCCUUCAGGCCGAAUAUCUAAGGUUUCCAGAGUAAAGCUGAUCUGCUCUGGGUAAGUCGGGACCUAAGGCAAGGUCGAAAGACGUAGUCGAUGGACAACAGGUUUAGAUUCCUGUACCGCUUAUUAUCAGAAAUGUGGGGACACAGAGACGUAUCCAAACCCAGGAAUGCAAAGACUGGGGCAAGCCAAGUACUGGUAUGGCAGGAAAAUCCGCCAUGCAACAGGAAGAGGUGAUGCGGACCGAAAUCAAGUAGGGAAGUUGGAGAAGGAGCUGUCAAGAAAAGCCGCUAUUGUGUGAUAAGUGCCCGUACCGUAAACCGACACAGGUGGAUGAGGAGAGAAUCCUAAGGCCGGCGGGAGAAGCAUUGUUAAGGAACUCGGCAAAAUGACCCCGUAACUUCGGGAGAAGGGGUGCCAUCCUCCGGGAUGGCCACAGAAAAUAGGCUCAAGCAACUGUUUAGCAAAAACACAGGUCUAUGCGAAACCGAAAGGUGAGGUAUAUGGGCUGACGCCUGCCCGGUGCUGGAAGGUUAAGAGGAGAAGUCAGGCAACGAAGCUUUGAAUUGAAGCCCCAGUAAACGGCGGCCGUAACUAUAACGGUCCUAAGGUAGCGAAAUUCCUUGUCGGGUAAGUUCCGACCCGCACGAAAGGCGUAAUGAUUUGAGCGCUGUCUCAACAAUGCACCCGGUGAAAUUGAAGUACCAGUGAAGAUGCUGGUUACCUGCGCCAGGACGGAAAGACCCCAUGGAGCUUUACUCUAGUUUGAUACUGGGAUUCGAUUAUACCUGUACAGGAUAGGUGGGAGGCGAAGAAGCAAGGACGCCAGUCUUUGCAGAGCCAUUGUUGGGAUACCACCCUUGUAUGAUUGGAUUUCUAACCUGCGCCCGUGAUCCGGGUGGGGGACACUGUCAGAUGGGGAGUUUGACUGGGGCGGUCGCCUCCGAAAGGGUAUCGGAGGCGCUCAAAGGUUCCCUCAGAAUGGUCGGAAACCAUUCAAAGAGUGCAAAGGCAGAAGGGAGCUUGACUGCGACACCGACGGGUGGAGCAGGUACGAAAGUAGGACUUAGUGAUCCGGUGGUAUAAAGUGGGAUUGCCAUCGCUCAACGGAUAAAAGCUACCCUGGGGAUAACAGGCUUAUCACUCCCAAGAGUUCACAUCGACGGAGUGGUUUGGCACCUCGAUGUCGGCUCAUCGCAUCCUGGGGCUGAAGUCGGUCCCAAGGGUUGGGCUGUUCGCCCAUUAAAGCGGUACGCGAGCUGGGUUCAGAACGUCGUGAGACAGUUCGGUCCCUAUCCGGCGUGGGCGUAAGAUAUUUGAGAGGAGCUGUCCUUAGUACGAGAGGACCGGGAUGGACUGACCGCUGGUGCACCUGUUGGGGAGCAACCCCAUCGCAGGGUAGCCAAGUCGGGCCGGGAUAAACGCUGAAGGCAUCUAAGCGUGAAGCCCCCCUCAAGAUGAGAUAUCUCAUACGCAAGUAGUAAGACCCCUUGAAGACGACGAGGUAGAUAGGGCAGAGGUGUAAGUGUGGCAACAUACUUAGCUGACUGUUACUAAUCGGUCGAGGGUUUAACCAA
rnacentral:rRNA from 1 species